rnacentral:pre_miRNA from 1 species
GAAGUACUCCCUCCGUCCGGAAAUACUUGUCCUUAAAAUGGAUAAAAUGAAUGUAUCUAUAACUAAAAUAAGUUUAGAUACAAUCAUUUCGAGGACAAGUAUUUUCGGAGGGAGGGAGUAUACG